GAUGAACGCUGACAGAAUGCUUAACACAUGCAAGUCUACUUGAACUUCGGUUUGGGUGGCGGACGGGUGAGUAACGCGUAAAGAACUUGCCUCACAGUUAGGGACAACAUUUGGAAACGAAUGCUAAUACCUGAUAUUAUGAUUUUAGGGCAUCCUAAAAUUAUGAAAGCUAUAUGCGCUGUGAGAGAGCUUUGCGUCCCAUUAGCUAGUUGGAGAGGUAACGGCUCACCAAGGCGAUGAUGGGUAGCCGGCCUGAGAGGGUGAACGGCCACAAGGGGACUGAGGAACGGCCCGUACUCCUACGGGAGGCAACAGUGGGGAAUAUUGGACAAGGGACCAAAAGUCUGAUCCAGCAAUUCUGUGUGGACGAUGGCGUUUUUCGGAAUGUAAAGUGGUUUCAGUUGGGGAAGAAAAAAUGACGGUACCAACAGAAGAAGUGACGGCUAAAUACGUG
rnacentral:rRNA from 1 species